rnacentral:misc_RNA from 1 species
GAUGAAGAACGUAGCGAAAUGCGAUAAGUAAUGUGAAUUGCAAAUUCAGUGAAUCAUCGAGUCUUUGAACGCACAUUGCGCCCCCUGGUAUUCCGGGGGGCAUGCCUGUCCGAGCGUCAUUGCUGCCCUCAAGCACGGCUUGUGUGUUGGGCCCCGUCCUCCGAUUCCGGGGGACGGGCCCGAAAGGCAGCGGCGGCACCGCGUCCGGUCCUCGAGCGUAUGGGGCUUUGUCACCCGCUCUGUAGGCCCGGCCGGCGCUUGCCGAUCAACCCAAAUUUUUAUCCAGGUUGACCUCGGAUCAGGUAGGGAUACCCGCUGAACUUAAGCAUAUCAAUAAGCGGAGGA